UAGGCUGGCAGAUACGUUCGUGAGGUUACUCCUUUCUGCCCGUGGACGCCACCGAGAAAGCAUCGUUGAAGACUUCCCCGCCUCCACUGCCGUCAUGUCUAAAUCAGAGUCUCCCAAAGAGCCCGAACAGCUGCGGAAGCUCUUCAUCGGAGGAUUGAGCUUUGAAACAACUGAUGAGAGUCUGAGGAGCCAUUUUGAGCAAUGGGGAACUCUCACAGACUGUGUGGUAAUGAGGGAUCCAAACACCAAGCGCUCCAGAGGCUUCGGGUUUGUCACAUACGCCACGGUGGAGGAGGUGGAUGCGGCCAUGAAUGCAAGGCCACACAAGGUGGACGGAAGAGUUGUGGAACCAAAGAGGGCCGUGUCAAGAGAAGAUUCUCAAAGACCUGGUGCCCACUUAACUGUGAAAAAGAUUUUUGUUGGUGGCAUUAAAGAAGACACUGAAGAACAUCACCUGAGAGAUUAUUUUGAACAGUAUGGGAAAAUUGAAGUAAUUGAAAUCAUGACUGACCGAGGCAGUGGCAAAAAGAGAGGGUUUGCUUUUGUAACCUUUGAUGACCAUGACUCUGUAGACAAGAUUGUCAUUCAGAAAUACCACACUGUGAAUGGCCACAACUGUGAAGUGAGAAAAGCCCUGUCUAAGCAAGAGAUGGCUAGUGCUUCAUCCAGCCAGAGAGGUCGAAGUGGUUCUGGAAACUUUGGUGGUGGUCGUGGAGGUGGUUUUGGUGGGAAUGACAACUUUGGUCGUGGAGGAAACUUCAGUGGUCGAGGUGGCUUUGGUGGCAGCCGUGGUGGUGGCGGAUAUGGUGGCAGUGGGGAUGGAUAUAAUGGAUUUGGUAAUGACGGUGGUUAUGGAGGAGGCGGCCCUGGUUACUCUGGAGGAAGCAGAGGCUAUGGAAGUGGUGGACAGGGUUAUGGAAACCAGGGCAGUGGCUAUGGCGGGAGUGGCAGCUAUGACAGCUAUAACAACGGUGGAGGCGGAGGCGGCUUUGGCGGUGGUAGUGGAAGCAAUUUUGGAGGUGGCGGAAGCUACAAUGAUUUUGGCAAUUACAACAAUCAAUCUUCAAAUUUUGGACCCAUGAAAGGAGGAAACUUUGGAGGCAGAAGUUCUGGCCCCUAUGGUGGUGGAGGCCAAUACUUUGCCAAACCACGAAACCAAGGUGGCUAUGGUGGUUCCAGCAGCAGCAGCAGCUAUGGCAGUGGCAGAAGGUUUUAAUUACUGCCAGGAAACAAAGCUUAGCAGGAGAGGAGAGCCAGAGAAGUGACAGGGAAGCUACAGGUUACAACAGAUUUGUGAACUCAGCCAAGCACAGUGGUGGCAGGGCCUAGCUGCUACAAAGAAGACAUGUUUUAGACAAUACUCAUGUGUAUGGGCAAAAAACUCGAGGACUGUACUUGUGACUAAUUGUAUAACAGGUUAUUUUAGUUUCUGUUCUGUGGAAAGUGUAAAGCAUUCCAACAAAGGGUUUUAAUGUAGAUUUUUUUUUUUGCACCCAUGCUGUUGAUUGCUAAAUGUAAUAGUCUGAUCAUGACGCUGAAUAAAUGUCUUUUUUUUUUUUUUUAAUGUGCUGUGUAAAGUUAGUCUACUCUGAAGCCAUUUUGGUAAACUACCCCAACAGUGUGAAGUUAGAAUUCCUUCAGGGUGAUGCCAGGUUCCAUUUGAAAUUUAUUUACAACCUGCUUGGUGGAGAAGCUGUUGUCUUCAGAACCUUGGUGUAGUUGAACUGACAGUUACUGUGUUGUGACCUGGAGUUCACCAUUAAAAGGGUCACCCAUGCAAAGUCAUGGAGGUUUUUUUUUUUUUUUGGUUAUUAAUGAUUGUUGGCACAUCCUAUGCAAUAUAUCUAAAUUGAAUUAUGGUACCAGAUAAAAGUUAUAGAUGGGAAUGAAGCUUGUGUAUCAUCCAUUAUCAUGUGUAAUCAAUAAAAGAUUUAAUACCCUCUUGAAUGGAAUGACAACUGUAUGGAUUUGGGACUGGCAGAGUUUUGGACCUUCCCUACCCACUACCCCUCAUGUUGAAUGCUUCUAUCAAUUCAAGUUCAAAACUCUGCCAGAGAAUAGAAACCAGCUGCUGGCUAAUGCCACCUCGUAAAUCCACAAAUUAGUUUGGGGGAAGACCUUUUUUAAAGUGACUAGUGCCAUUAAGAAUUUUAUUCAACACACACAAAAAAACAGGCUUACAUUAAAGGAAAACUGCAGUUUCUGUCCUGGUUGGGUGGGUCUUUAUAGUAGUUUAUGGAUUGACCACUUACUAUAUGGAGAUUAAAAAUUCAUGUGGUGAGAAACUGUAUCGUCUACUUAAAUACGUGCUAACUGCAGUUUUCCUUUAAAUAUGGCACAAGAUCACACAACCAUCCUAAAAUGUUGCUUGUAUAGAAAAUGACUUUUAAACCUUUAUAACGUUAUUAUCCAAUCAUUGUUAUCUGUACAUAGCUUCCUUUGAGCCUUCGCUUUGGUGCCCUCAAUUUCAGUGCCAUUGUACCUCGUAGUAUAGAUAUUUGUUUACCACUAGGAUUGUGUACUCCAUCCCAUGGGUGUGUUACCUGGAAUUUUGGGGAGGGUUGGGGUGGGGUUGGGUGGGAGGUGGAGGUGGGUGGGAAAGCAUGGGUAAUAGUUCCAUGAGCUUGAUACUGGCUGAGUUUGCAAUGGCAGGUGGAACCUUAACUAUUGAGGGAGUUUGCAGAUACCUCAGGAUUCGUGACAAUGCCUUUAAAGAUCCAGGAGAGAUGUUCAGCUACUAGGAACUGCUAGCAAGUAUAGCGCGAAUGGCUCCGAGCCCAGACACUCUACAGCUGAGAGUAGACACUUGUGGUAUGUGGAGUACAGAUAAGCCAGGGGCAGGCCACGGCACUCCAUGAAAGCUAGGAGAGUGAAGUUUCAGUGAUCAUCGCAAGGAAGGAGGCAGACAAGAGUAAGGCACACCUGACUCUUAGGACUAGCGGUCAGAACCAGGAGAAAAGGUUUUAUUGCUAUGCUGAUAGGUAAGAACAGAUUUUACUUACAUCCAUAUAGCUCUCUAAAAUCAAGCCUUCUCAUUUUCCUUAAUAUAUUGAGCCAAAACUAGUCCAGUUAAGCUGAACUUGGUUUUUCUGGAACUGAGUUGCUUUAAAUUGACACCCUACUCUUGGUGGCUCCCAAAUGAAGGAAGUGAGCACUUUUAAUUACCUCUCUACUGUGAUAUAUAUUUACCCUUUAAUUUCUAUAUUUCUUACCUUCCUUUGACCUAUUUCCUUAAAACAAUGGCUCAAAGUAAUAUUAGAAUCUUCCCCCCAAAUGCUUGUGGGAGGUUGGGUGGGCCGUUAGUGGGAGGUGGGGGGUUAGCCUGAGAUGGAACUUGUCUCUGAAAAAAAGCUAGUUCUAAAGGCUGUUUACUUUUCUAGGGAGGACUCUGCUACCACAGGCAUAUCACCUCUUAAAAACCAGAAACUUCAGUCCAAGCUCAUGGAUAAAAAGAAACAUCCUUAAUGAGGACCUUUAUCCGAGCCUCUUGGUGCUUGAUUGUCACUGCUAUGCAGUUACUUACUACCUGCUGUGCAGCGUGAAUCAUUCAAUUUUGUGAAUGAACUUUAAAAAAAUAAACUGCAUUUAACUUGG